rnacentral:miRNA from 1 species
GAUUUGAGGGUGUGUGUGUGUGUGUGUGUGUGUGUGUGUGUGUGUGUGCGCGCACACGUGUGCGCUCAUGUGCACA